CGAGUGGCGGACGGGUGAGUAAUGUCUGGGAAACUGCCCGAUGGAGGGGGGAUAACUACUGGAAACGGUAGCUAAUACCGCAUAACGUCGCAAGACCAAAGAGGGGGACCUUCGGGCCUCUUGCCAUCGGAUGUGCCCAGAUGGGAUUAGCUAGUAGGUGGGGUAAAGGCUCACCUAGGCGACGAUCCCUAGCUGGUCUGAGAGGAUGACCAGCCACACUGGAACUGAGACACGGUCCAGACUCCUACGGGAGGCAGCAUG
rnacentral:rRNA from 1 species